AGCCAGUGCGUGUCUUCGGUGGUGUGCAGAGGGUGGUUCCCUGUGCAGCAGCGCCUCUACGCCCUCCUACGUGUAUUAUUUACGUUGUGGUGUCGGGCUGGCUGCUCACACGUGUCCCACCGUCUCGCCUCUUUGUCCUGCAUCGCACUUUCACUGUGGCUUCACCGUCAGCAACGGAGAGAAGCUGACUGCAUGCCGCGUUCGCCCUUUUCUUGCACUGCUUUUCCCGCAGCGGGCUGCUCAGCCUUUUGAUUGGAUUCCUUUUCAAUAAAGCGGAACGCGUCCCACCUGAAAGAGGGAAAGAAAGAAGGACAAACAGAGGCAGGGGAUGCUGCAUCUCCCCAGCCCUUGUCCUCUGGUUCCGGACGGACUGGGACGGGUUAGAUGACGUGCGGAGGGGGGGGUUCUCCGGGUAUUUAUGUUUCGCCCUGCGUUGGAAAAGACCCAUCCCACCGGGAGAUCCAUGCUCCGGCUUUUGUGUCGCUGUCAUCAUGUCCCCAGCAUCGGCUCCAGAGGCCAGUGAGAGCAGCACAGCCACGGUCCAAGAGGAGGCAGCGGCCAGUCCGAGGGAGGAGCAGCAUCCUCAGAAACAGUCUCUGACCAAGUCUUUGUGCCAGGAGUCUCACUGGAAAUGCCUACUGCUGUCCCUGUUGAUGUAUGGCUGCGUAGGAGUGAUAGCCUGGUGCCAGGUGACCAAGGUCACGCGUCUCUCCUUCGACAGCGCCUACAAGGGGAAGUCCAUGAUGUAUCACGACAGCCCCUGCUCCAACGGUUACAUCUACAUCCCCCUGGCUUUCCUGGUCAUGCUCUACGUGGUCUACCUUGUAGAGUGCUGGCAUUGCUACGCCCGGAAUGACCUGCUGUACAAGGUGGACGUGGACAGCGUGGCCGAGCGCAUACAACGAAUGCAGCAGGCCACGCCCUGCAUCUGGUGGAAGGCCAUCAGCUACCACUAUGUCAGGAGGACGCGGCAGGUGACGCGUUACCGCAAUGGAGAUGCAUACACCACCACGCAGGUUUACCAUGAGAGAGUGAACACGCAUGUGGCUGAGACAGAGUUUGACUAUGGGAACUGUGGCGUUAAGGAUAUCUCAAAGCAGCUGCUAGGUUUGGAGGGAUUCCCCAUUAGCAGGCUGAGGUUCACAAAGUGCUUUAGCUUUGCAAAUGUGGAGUCAGAAAACACCUACCUGACGCAGCGGGCUCGCUUCUUUACAGAAAACGAGGGCCUGGAUGAUUACAUGGAGGCCCGCGAGGGGAUGCACUUAAAGAAUGUGGACUUUAAGGAGCACAUGAUUGCCUUUUCUGACCUGAACCAUCCUCCCUGGUAUGCUUCCAACUCUGCUUUCUGGGUGGCAGCUGCGUUCACUCUCUCUUGGCCAUUGCGGGUGCUGAUGGAGUACCGCACAGCCUGCGUGCACUACCACGUGGAGAAGCUGUUCGGCUUUGACUAUGUGCCAGCAACACCAUCCGAGGAGCGUCCGUAUUGCCGACACAUCCCACGGGUCAACACCAUCGACAGCACGGAGCUAGAGUGGCACAUCCGCUCCAACCAGCAGCUGGUGCCCAGCUACUCGGAGGCAGUCCUGAUGGAUCUAGCCCAACUUUCUGGGAGCUGCAACAGCUACUCCACAAGUGGGCGGUACGGCAGCUACAGGCAGAAUUGUGAACGCUGCCACCGCGCCAUCAGCAGCUCCUCCAUCUUCUCCCGCAGCGCCCUGAGCAUUUGCAACACAGCGAGCCCCCGCAUCCCCUUCAGCGCCAGCCGCUUCUCUCUGGGCCGGCUCUAUGGGUCCAGGCGGAGCUGCCUGUGGAGGAGCAGCGGGAGCCUGAAUGAGCAGUCCUGUCCCACCGAGAGCACUUGCUGUCUGUCAGGUCAGCAGACUAAUGAGGAGAACCCUCCGGCCUAUCAGGACGCUCUGUGCUUUCCUGUGCUCAUUGUGCAUCGCAACGAAGGAUGCCUCAAUCACGACCACCGCUCUUUGCACAGGAAUGGCUCCUGUGUGGAGACGUCCCUUUGACCCACAGCUAGCCCAAUGUGAUGACACAAACUGAGGCUGAGAAACAUCUUUAGCCCUGGCUUGAAACGGCAGUGUGGAAGAGCAAGGUCAUGCUGAGAACCACAUUCACAUUCUACAAAACAGCCAGAUGGACCUGGGAUACGGAUCGCAGGUCUUUUGGAUGAGGAAACGCUGGAUGGAGUGAAUCCAUCUGUCCAAUAAACAACAACAUGAGGUGCCCAGACACUGUGUAGGAGGAGGAGAUUGUGCCAGGGAGAGAAUAAUGGCUGUUCGAGGCAUCAGGAGUUCCUCCGUGUAUCUGAAGUUCAGUUGGACUGGAAGAUGAGAGGCUCCAACUGAUCUCCCCAGGCAGUCCAUCAGUCCUGUGUUUGUGUAAUUCGGCCUGACGGACACACGCUGCCCUUGUAGUUCGGCUUUAAUGGACUGGUGUGACAUUAGCCAAUGCAGGAGGCGAAUUUACUCUGUGAACUGCUGUCCAUGUGUACUCUAGGUGAAGCUACUCUGCACGUAAACCAAGAAACUGAUCACAACACAUCAUACCAUAUUCACUUUAUCUUUAUCUGAUAAAUUCUUAUAUUAAAAUUUGUUCAAUUAAUGGAAACAUUUGACAAAAACAGGAGAAGUCAGCUGCUUAGCACCACUGAACUGCCCUCAAAUGUCUGGAAAACUACUUUAACACAUGGAGAAACACCUUUGUCUUUCCACAGCACCCUGUGACAACCGUGUGCUUUAAAAAUAUUGCACCACUUGUGCCGCCACACAUUCAUUUGCUCUCAUAACACCAAGAGGUGUUGCAUUAGUUCCUAAGCAACAUGGCGUUUAAUUUCGGAAAAACAGGAGACAGAAGGGCUUAACCCAACAGCACUUCUUUAGAAAUAGAAAUCUUUUUGUAGAAUUGACACCCACAUUCAAAGCUACCGAUAAACUUAUGUGUGAUACUGUUAAAUGGGAAAGACACUCUACAUUGAAGUAAAGAAAGAAAAAGUCCUAUUAAUAGAUACAGUGGUGUGAAACAGUGUUUUCUCCCCGCCUUGGUUUUCAUCUUUUUCACACUUCAGCGUUUCAGAACAUCAAACCAAUUUAAAUAUUGUCGGUUUGCGUUUCUAACACCUUCAUUUAGUAACUCCCUUUGUGUUUGACUAACAUAAUCAGGAAACACUUUCUAACAUGACUGAGGGUUUUAGCAGAAACAAAUGAGGAUUAUUCCUUGAGUUUGAGUCCAAUUAAGCGUUUUCUUUCACACAAGAACCUGUAUUAAAUGUCUGAAAUAACCAAGUAAUAUAUAAAAGCUCCUUUUACACUGGUUGAAAAUUGCGUUUUGGUUGAGCAAAAGCAGAGAAAGCUGAGGUGAACUCUAAGGUGCAGCCAGUGAUUGAUGCUCUCUCUUUUUCUGCUAACACGUCCUUUCAGCACAGCUGAUUUGCAAGGCAAGCGAUUCCCAGAAUGCACUGCAACUCUGGACCAAAACAACAAAUGUUUGUCUUUUUAUCAUUCAUCAUAUGCAAAUGCAGAAUAAUUUACCAAUCAACAAGACUGCUCUGUUUUAUUUUAGAUAUUAUUUGGAUUUUAAAUUACAACUUUAUAUAUAUUUUUAAAUAAUAUUUCAAGGGAACACCUUGCAAAAAUAUUCAAACCAGUUAAAAGUUCUCAAAUUUUGUCACUUUGCAACCAUAAACCUUAACUGUUAGUGAAAGGCAAACAUACUUAUGGAGGAUUAAUAAUGAAUGGUGUUAAAUUUGAAGUGCAACAUAUUUUUCAGAAAGUCUUUUCUCCAGCCUCAAACAUGUUUCUUUCAGUAUUGCUUUGUAGUUUUGCAUAAUCUAUUUAUCACAUAAAAUCUAACCCUCUUCCAUGUUUUUGCUUAAUCAUCCUACAUUACGUUUUUUUAAAUAAUUCCUUCAAAAAACAAAAAGGGAACUAAAUCACAUGAACGUGGUUGUGAGAAUUUUCAGAUAAUGUAAAAUAGCUCAAGGGUUUGUAUUGCUUUUGCA